UACGUAGGGUGCGAGCGUUGUCCGGAAUUACUGGGCGUAAAGAGCUCGUAGGUGGUUUGUCGCGUUGUCCGUGAAAACUCACAACUCAAUUGUGGGCGUGCGGGCGAUACGGGCAGACUGGAGUACUGCAGGGGAGACUGGAAUUCCUGGUGUAGCGGUGGAAUGCGCAGAGUAUCAGGAGGAACACCGGUGGCGAAGGCGGA
rnacentral:rRNA from 1 species